rnacentral:lncRNA from 1 species
AUGAUAUUAAAAUGUGUUUCUUUGCUUAAAAUGAGGUUUGUGAACAACAACAACAACGCAGGCGUUAUCCAGUUUGUGCUCAAUCUGAGUGUCGCAGCAGCAGACCACGAUGCAAGGACAGGAUGGAAUUGGUCGAAGUUCCUAUCCCUGGUAUGGAGCUACAGCUCCUUCCCAUUCAAUGAAGAUGUUCAUCCUUCAGAUCAAUGUCACUUCCUUCUGGAUCUUUACUCGUGUGCAACGGCAUCUGGUAUUAAAAAGGGCAGGAGUCUCAUUCCAUUACUUCGGCCAGUUUACCAGUCAGCUCCAGCAGUCUGGUACGUGAAUCUGGCUAGAAGAAAGGCCUCCGUCUUCCUCGAAGUUCUGAAACUCCAACCAGUGAAAAGGCCAAUGCAGGUGAAAUGUUGGUCAGAUAAAGAAAGUGAAGUGAGGAGUUUCCUUCAGUGUCUGCCCUACGUCUCACAGCUGAGUUUUAACGACAACAGUCUUGUGUACUUCCUACGGAAAAAUAGAGAGCAGGCCGAGCAGUUUGCCGCUCUCUUCCAAGCUCAUGGCUUUACCUUGUCAUUGGGAGGAGAGUUACCCAGGCAAACCUGCACUUCUGUGGGGAGAAUCUUGGCCCUCUGUACCUCAGGAGUGAAACUCGGUCUCACACCCAGCAAGAUUUCUCUCCGAGGAGCUUCGAUUCUCUUCAGACAUCCGUUGAUGCUACACAACCUCAUACUAAAUGAGAUCAUGACAGUGAAACUGACCAGACUGCUUGCGACUGGUAGAGUCAGUGCUCCAAUGGGGGUUGAGGAGAUUUCGCUGGUUAUUGAGAACUCACAACUAUCGGAGGAUGUGCUUUCUAGGGUCCUGAGUAGUGUGGCGUCCCUGCUGAGAGUCUGGACUGUGCAGCGUCUGGACCUGACGAAGUGUACUAUCCACGGUCACUCUCUCAUCCUGUUGCUGGGUCACCGGGGCCCUCUGAAACUCAAACUGUGUCCAGACACUCUUCAGCAGCUGGCUGUAGUUGUGCAUGAAGCUCGGGACAAGGACCUGACUCAUUCAUUCUUAAAGAAAGUUGGUGGAGACCUGACCUCUUGCAGGCUGGACUGGGAAGUGCUUCUUUCUCUGCUGCAGUAUUCAAACCAACACAUCACAGUGAAUCUCAGAGAGAACAGGAUUUCAGAGAGAAACAUCACAGAUCUUCGUCCCUUUCUGGGCAGGAUUAUUUUAAAGAGUGUUGAGAGGAAUCUGCUGCUGCUGUUCCUCCACUGCUACUCUGCCUCAAAGAUCCAGCCAGGGGCAACAGCCCUGCUUGGGGCUCUGCAGCACAGACUGGACUUCUCCUCCUCUGUGGACCUGUCAACAAAGGACCAGGGGAAGGCUCUGUGUCUGAGCUCUGCUGACUGCAAGGUCAUCGCUAGAGUCCUGAAGCAUAGCCGUUACGUCACAGAGCUGAUCCUAAGCGAUUGUGAGAUUUCAGACAGAGCACUCAGGAAGCUGCUGCUGAAAAUCCCACGCAGAGUUAAUCUCAGCCCCAGUAAAGCCAUAUUGGUUCAACUUGUACAAACUUGUAACAAGAAUAAUGCAGUGCAUCAUGCAGGAUCUCUGAUCAGAGCCCUGGGCGGGGAGAUGGACCUCAGUGAGACCAUGCUGGAUCAGAAGGCCUGUAGUUCUCUGGCCCUGGUUCUGGAGCAUUCAAAGGGGCUAUCAGAACUGGACCUCAGCCGCUGCCAACUCACAGACCACCACCUACAGCCUCUGCUCGCACACCUGCACAAAGUCCAAGUCCUGGAUCUAAGUCAUAAUGCAAUUUCCAACUGUUUGAGUAAGAAAAUACUGAAAGCUGUCUCCACCAGCAAAGGCCACACAGUUUGGCUCACAAACAACAGGAUGAAAGCCAAACCAUGUUCCUGUCGGCAUCGUUAA